rnacentral:rRNA from 1 species
CCUACGGGAGGCAGCAGUGGGGAAUUUUCCGCAAUGGGCGCAAGCCUGACGGAGCAAUACCGCGUGAGGGAAGAAGGCUCUUGGGUCGUAAACCUCUUUUGUUUGGGAAGAAACCUGACGGUACCAAACGAAUAAGCCUCGGCUAACUCCGUGCCAGCAGCCGCGGUAAGACGGAGGAGGCAAGUGUUAUCCGGAAUUAUUGGGCGUAAAGCGUCCGCAGGUGGUUUUACAAGUCUGUUGUUAAAGCGCGAGGCUCAACCUUGUAUAGGCAAUGGAAACUGUAAGACUAGAGUGCGGUAGGGGUAGAGGGAAUUCCCGGUGUAGCGGUGAAAUGCGUAGGUAUCGGGAAGAACACCAGUGGCGAAGGCGCUCUACUGGGCCUGCACUGACACUGAGGGACGAAAGCUAGGGGAGCGAAAGGGAUUAGAUACCCCUGUAGUCCUAGCCGUAAACGAUGGACACUAGGUGUUGCGCGUAUCGACCCGUGCAGUGCCGUAGCUAACGCGUUAAAGUGUCCCGCCUGGGGAGUACGCUCGCAAGAGUGAAACCUUAAAGGAAUUGAACGG